UACAGAGGUGCCAAGCGUUAGGCGGAAUCACUGGGCUUAAGGCGCGUGUAGGUGGGUCGUUAAGUGUCCGCGUGAAAUCCCACGGCUCAACCGUGGAACUGCCGGGCAUACUGGCGAUCUUGAGGCAUUCAGGGGCGAGCGGAACAAAUGGUGGAGCGGUGAAAUGCGUAGAUAUCAUUUGGAACGCCAAUGGUGAGAACAGCUCGCUGGGAAUGAUCUGACACUGAGACGCGAAAGCCAGGGGAGCGAACGGG
rnacentral:rRNA from 1 species